AUUGAACGCUGGCGGCAGGCUUAACACAUGCAAGUCGAGCGGAGAUGAGGUGCUUGCACCUUAUCUUAGCGGCGGACGGGUGAGCACUGCUUAGGAAUCUGCCUAUUAGGGGGGGACAACAUUCCGAAAGGAAUGCUAAUACCGCAUACGCCCUCCGUGGGAAAGCAGGGGAUCUUCGGACCUUGCGCUAAUAGAUGAGCCUAAGUCGGAUUAGCUAGUUGGUGGGGGAAAGGCCUACCAAGGCGACGAUCUGUAGCGGGUCGGAGAGGAUGAUCCGCCAGACUGGGGCUGAGACACGGCCCAGACUCCUACGGGAGGCAGCAGUGGGAAUAUUGGACAAUGGGCGGAAGCCUGAUCCAGCCAUGCCGCGUGUGUGAAGAAGGCCUUUUGGUUGUAAAGCACUUUAAGCGAGGAGGAGGCUACCUGGAUUAAUACUCUAGGAUAGUGGACGUUACUCGCAGAAUAAGCACCGGCUAACUCUGUGCCAGCAGCCGCCGUAACAC
rnacentral:rRNA from 1 species